AUGUCGACCUUCCUUGCCGAUUCUACCAUUAACUUCAUAGCACGAGUUCUUGAGCACUCCGGCCUUAGUGAGGAGACUUGUGUUUCACCAGCACUCUCUUACAUUGAGUGUAGUAUGGAUGAAGCUUGCGCCGAGGUAGAACUGGUCGUCUUCUCAGUGAUUGAUGACCUAGUGGCCAAGACGAGGAUCGACCUUGAUGCGAUUGACAUUUUAGUCACCAAUUGCAGUGUCUUUUCACCGGUCCUGUCAAUCGCUGACAUGAUUGUAAAUAGGUACAAGCUGCGAGGUGACCUCCGCGUUAUCAACCUCUCGGGGAUGGGUUGCAGUGCAAUAGUAAUUGCAGUUGGGCUUGCAAGGAACAUCUUGGAGGUCAUGCCUUUUGGAUCGCAAGCGCUAGUGGUGGCAACGGAGACCAUAGGACCCAACCACUAUGCGGGUAACAACCGCUCCAUGCAGUUGGUUAAUAUCUUGUUCCGCAUGGGCGGUGCGGCCUGGCUGUUAUCGAGUUCUAGGUCCAAAGCCAGGUUCCGCCUAACACAGGUUGUGCGGACGAUCACUGCUAGUGACGACAAUGCCUACCGCUGCGUGUACCAGGAGGAAGAUGACGAGGGAAUCAAGGGCGCCAAUCUGUCAAAGAACCUCAUGGCUAUUGCUGGAGACGCUCUCAAGGCCAACAUCACGGCCAUGGGGCCACUUGUCUUGCCUACAUCAGAGCUGAUCAAGUUUCUUCUUGUCUCCUUGGCGAGGAAGGUGCUCCUUGGGAGGAGGAUAAGGCCUUACAUUCCCAAUUUCCAUACAGCGUUCGAGCACUUCUGCAUCCACGUCGGUGGACCAGCGGUGAUCAGCUCGGUACAACGUGGACUUAAUCUAUCAUAUGAGCAUGUUGAGCCUUCAUGGAUGACAUUGCAUCAAUUCGAAAAUCAGUCAAGUGCAUCUGUGUGGUAUGAGUUGGGAUACAUAGAAGCUAAGGGUCGAAUGCUAAAAGGUAAUAAGGUCUGGAUGAUUGGUUUCGGAGCUGGGUAUGAAUGCAACUCCGCGGUGUGGGUGUGCAUCCAUACAUCUCACGGUGACCAUGGGCCAUGGGCUAGGUGCAUCCAUCGAUACCCGCUAGAUGUGCAGAAAUAA
rnacentral:rRNA from 1 species